GGCACUGUGGCGGAGUGGUUAACGCGACAGAUUCGAAUUUCUUCACCAUCUGUUCCAGUUUCUGGGCGCAUGUUCGAAUCAUGCCAGUGUCG